UACGGAGGGGGCUAGCGUUGUUCGGAAUUACUGGGCGUAAAGCGCGCGUAGGCGGACCUGCAAGUCGGGGGUGAAAGCCCGAGGCUCAACCUCGGAACUGCCUUCGAUACUGCGGGUCUCGAGUCCGGGAGAGGUGAGUGGAAUUCCUAGUGUAGAGGUGAAAUUCGUAGAGAUUAGGAAGAACACCAGUGGCGAAGGCGGCUCACUGGCCCGGUACUGACGAUGAGGCGCGAAAGAGUGGGGAGCAAACAGG
rnacentral:rRNA from 1 species